AACCGUGAUUCAACAGCGCCGCGGAGCACCGAGCUGCCCCUUCGGCGCAGGCGGAUCCAGGUACUGCGGAGACCCAGGCUCCCGGGCUGAUCCCUGGAUGACCAGCCUGGGUGGCUGGCUGGGGAGAAAGGAGUGUCAUUGAAGGGACUUAAGUUGAAAGUCAAGGGAGUCUUACUUUUCCUCUGCUUUCGAUGUACGCUGAGGCCCUAGCAGAGGAUGUAUCAAAGCCCCUGGACCACUCCUGGUAGCAGAGGGCAGUUCCAAAGCCCUGCCUGAACACGCAGUGGCUAGCAGAUCAUUCUGUCAGUCCCUUUGGUCCGCUGCACAGGGCGGUGCAGUAAAUGCACGUGUCUGCCAUGGACAAGGGCCCUGGAUUAGGUCUAAAGGCCACUUGGCACCCCACUCCCGUUCCCGAGGUGACCGAGGAACUGCAACAUGAAGCCUGAGAGAAUUUGAGCGUGACUUCUGUAGCCACGGGGGUUCCAGGAAGGAUGAUUCUCACGUUGAGGAAGCCCGCAGUGGGUUUGAGUGAAUUCCUCCAAAGCGCAGAAAAACAAAAAAUGAAACUGAAAAAUAAACAUUCGGACGUUCCAAUUUGUGUUUUCCCUUCCUGGAUGCUGGGAAUGGACCCAGGAGCCCACCUCUGUCACUGAGCCUAGUGGCAGCCAGGUGUCACUUGCAAGCUUUGGGUUUUCUUCAUUUAUUUCCUGGCCUCCUGUUCUAGGCUUUGCCGUGACGUUGUUGAAGCCUUAGACGAUCACUUAUCCUACUGGUAGCAUUUGCUCGACAGUGUAUCAAACGAUUUCUUGUCACUCCUGGUUGACUGUCCAGUUUAUCCCUUCUUUUCCAAUUUCCCUAAUUCUGCGACCCUUUAACACAGCUCCUCAUAUUGUAGUGAUCCCAACCAUAAAAUUAUUUUUAUUGCUACUUCAUAACUGUAAUUUUGCUACGGUUAUGAACUGUAAUGUAAAUAUCUGUGUCUUUGGAUGCUUUGUACAAUCUUCCUUCCUUCCUUCCUUCCUUCCUUCCUUCCUUCCUUUCUUCCUUCCUUUUUUACUUUCCUUGAGUAAAGUCAAACUUGGGUCCACCUUGUAGGCUCUGAGAAGUGUAAAGAGUAACUAAGCUGUCGUCCCACUCACAGUAGCUUUUGAUUAGGCUUCCUGCUUAUGUCUGAGAAUGGACAGGGCAGAACCUCUUAGAUAGCCUUCUACAAUACCAAUCUUGAGGUCAGCUGGUCCGUGUGCUCACUGGCCUAAGUACACAAUGUAGCUCUAUCUGGUCCUCUACUCCAGGGACUUUCCCUCUUGACCGCACUUUCUUUUACUCCCAACUGAGCAAAGGAAGAGGGCAUCAAGAAAACUGUUCAAAGGGUGAUCUUUUUUCCAUCCACGGACCCUCAACUGUGUUCCUCAGCAGGUGUGGGAAACACUCGCGGUUUGGGGAACUUAUUGUUCAUAGGCAGAAAUAUCCUGUUGGCUAUUCCUUAAAGCAGACAUGCGUGAAGACACGUAGAGAGCCCAGUUUCCUUUUGCAUCACCAGUGGUGCAAUGUGGCUGAUGAGGAGUCUGUAAGUGACCAGGGCACGCUUUUAGCCCUUCUUGUGCACGUUUAUAGAGCAUGCUAACAGCUUUACCAACCAAGUUCAUCAAGUACUUUACAUAAUCUCAAUGGUGCCCUCUGUCAACUUCCCCCAUCAAGCUCUUUUAGGGGGAGGGGGGAUCAGGUCCCCCCUUUAGCUCUUAGCACAGUUUACAAGCACCCAGGAGGAACUUGACACAUUUGAAUCAAUAAAAUUCAUUUAUGCAGCC
rnacentral:lncRNA from 1 species